GUCAGGUAAGAUAUUCCAAGAAACGACAUGAUCUGAAGAUUCAAACUAAGUGAUGCUGCUUUCUAGAAAGAGUAAUAUAUACAUGGUAUAACUACCAAGAUGUUUAGAAGUCUCCACUUUCUGAGCAUUUAUCCUGAACAUGACUGACACACGGUAUCCCCUUUCUGACACCAUCUAAUCAGCUUCACAUGCAUCCGCAACAAUGCUAGUGUGCGUCAAAAGACAAACCAAAAACAAAACACAAAGUGUGCCUAGGUCAGACAGAC